AGAGCAAACCGGGGGAACUGAAACAUCUAAGUACCCCGAGGAGAAGAAAUCAACCGAGAUUCCGGUAGUAGCGGCGAGCGAACCUGGAUUAGCCCUUAAGCGCUCGGUGAAGUAGGUGAACAAGCUGGAAAGCUUGGCGAUACAGGGUGAUAGCCCCGUAACCGACGCUUCAUCGAGCGUGAAAUCGAGUAGGGCGGGACACGUGAUAUCCUGUCUGAAUAUGGGGGGACCAUCCUCCAAGGCUAAAUACUCCUGACUGACCGAUAGUGAACCAGUACCGUGAGGGAAAGGCGAAAAGAACCCCUGUGAGGGGAGUGAAAUAGAACCUGAAACCGUGUACGUACAAGCAGUAGGAGCACCUUCGUGGUGUGACUGCGUACCUUUUGUAUAAUGGGUCAGCGACUUAUAUUCAGUGGCAAGGUUAACCGUAUAGGGGAGCCGUAGCGAAAGCGAGUCUUAACUGGGCGCUCAGUCUCUGGAUAUAGACCCGAAACCGGGUGAUCUAGCCAUGGGCAGGUUGAAGGUUGAGUAACAUCAACUGGAGGACCGAACCGACUAAUGUUGAAAAAUUAGCGGAUGACUUGUGGCUAGGGGUGAAAGGCCAAUCAAACUCGGAGAUAGCUGGUUCUCCCCGAAAGCUAUUUAGGUAGCGCCUCGGACGAAUACUACUGGGGGUAGAGCACUGUUAAGGCUAGGGGGUCAUCCCGACUUACCAACCCUUUGCAAACUCCGAAUACCAGUAAGUACUAUCCGGGAGACACACGGCGGGUGCUAACGUCCGUCGUGGAGAGGGAAACAACCCAGACCGCCAGCUAAGGUCCCAAAGUAUUGCUAAGUGGGAAACGAUGUGGGAAGGCUCAGACAGCUAGGAUGUUGGCUUAGAAGCAGCCAUCAUUUAAAGAAAGCGUAAUAGCUCACUAGUCGAGUCGGCCUGCGCGGAAGAUGUAACGGGGCUAAGCA
rnacentral:rRNA from 1 species